CAGUCGCCGCGGUAAAACGGAGGGUGCAAGCGUUAUCCGGAUUUAUUGGGUUUAAAGGGUCCGUAGGCGGAUCUGUAAGUCAGUGGUGAAAUCUCACAGCUUAACUGUGAAACUGCCAUUGAUACUGCAGGUCUUGAGUAAAUUUGAAGUGGCUGGAAUAAGUAGUGUAGCGGUGAAAUGCAUAGAUAUUACUUAGAACACCAAUUGCGAAGGCAGGUCACUAAGAUUUAACUGACGCUGAUGGACGAAAGCGUGGGGAGCGAACAGGAUUAGAUACCCCGGUAGUCCCUGUCUCUUAUAC
rnacentral:rRNA from 1 species